UGAUUUAGAGAGUGUUAGAAUUUUGCUGUUAUUCAGCAAUUCCCGUACAGGGAUGUACGGAAAAGGUGGCACUUCGCCCGGAUGGCGAAUUGACACUGGUUGCGUUAUGAUGAGAUAAGGUAAAGUCAAAAUUCUUACAGUCUCUUAAUCA
rnacentral:ncRNA from 1 species